rnacentral:tRNA from 1 species
GCCCGGGUGGCGGAAUCGGUAGACGCAGGGGACUCAAAAUCCCCCGAGCUUUGGCUCUUGCGGGUUCGAGGCCCGCCCCGGGUA